rnacentral:rRNA from 1 species
GAUGAACGCUAGCGGGAGGCCUAAUACAUGCAAGUCGAACGGUAACAGGUAGCAAUACGCUGACGAGUGGCGCACGGGUGCGUAACGCGUACACAAUCUGCCUUAUACUGGGGCAUAGCCUUUGGAAACGAAGAAUAAUUCCCCAUAACAUAUAGAAGAGGCAUCUCUUUUAUAUUAAAGCUCAGGCGGUAUAAGAUGAGUGUGCGUCCGAUUAGGUAGUUGGUGAGGUAACGGCUCACCAAGCCAACGAUCGGUAGCUGGUCUGAGAGGAUUAUCCCCCACACUGGUACUGAGACACGGACCAGACUCCUACGGGAGGCAGCAGUGGGGAAUUUUGGACAAUGGGCGCAAGCCUGAUCCAGCAAUGCCGCGUGCAGGAUGAAGGCCUUCGGGUUGUAAACUGCUUUUGUCUAGGGAAGAAAGUACCUUUGGGUUAAUACCUACGAAGGGAGUGACGGUACCUGAAGAAUAAGCACCGGCUAACUACGUGCCAGCAGCCGCGGUAAAC